rnacentral:rRNA from 2 species
ACGGGAGGCAGCAGUGAGGAAUAUUGGUCAAUGGACGGAAGUCUGAACCAGCCAAGUCGCGUGAAGGAUGAAGGUUCUAUGGAUUGUAAACUUCUUUUGCCAGAGGGUAAAAAGCGGGACGUGUCCCGCCUUGCAAGUAUCUGGUGAAUAAGCAUCGGCUAACUCCGUGCCAGCAGCCGCGGUAAUACGGAGGAUGCGAGCGUUAUCCGGAUUUAUUGGGUUUAAAGGGUGCGUAGGCGGAAUGUUAAGUCAGUGGUUAAAUCUUGCGGCUCAACCGUAAGUUGCCGUUGAAACUGGCGUUCUUGAGUGUAAACGAGGUAGGCGGAAUAUGACAUGUAGCGGUGAAAUGCUUAGAUAUGUCAUAGAACUCCGAUUGCGAAGGCAGCUUACCAGCAUACAACUGACGCUGAGGCACGAAAGCGUGGGUAUCAAACAGGAUUAGAUACCCUGGUA